rnacentral:tRNA from 1 species
AUUAACAUAGUUUAUAAAGAACGCCACAUUGAAGCUGUGAUAGAGUGUUUACUGUUGAUG